UAAUAUAUUUAGGUAUAAAUCUACAAUUCUUCUGUCGAUAUCAUGCAGAUUACCAAAUUCAUCACUAAUGUCUUAGCGAGAGUCAUAAAACACAAAUAUAUCAACCCAAAUCAUAUGGUGCCAACCAAAGAGAUAAAAGACAGUCAAUUUAAAUAACAAAGGGUUUCAUUAUAACCUUAGAGCAAAUACUCAGUUCAUAGCUAUUAAACCAAAUACAAGUAGCAAUAAAGACAACAUUUAUGGAUUACAAUAAUAGAGAAGAUAAAUGGAUAGAAGAAACUCUGUCAAAGCCCUUUCAAUCUUCACGCAGUCCGCUCAAAUCAAGCUUUCUAAUCCGUGUCGCUCG
rnacentral:lncRNA from 1 species